CAUUCCAUGCCAGCUGUCACUAUUGAAUUCAUUUUGGGAGAAGUCUUUGAAUAUUUUCAUGAGAGCCAAGUUUUCAUACAUAGAGGAUGGAUUUUCUGAAACAUUUUUAAUUCAUUGAUCAUUAUUAUUAAUGAAUUAGGUAAUGAAUCAAUUGUCCUAAAGAAUAUCAUUUUUAUUUGGAAAAAAAGAGAUGGGAUUAUAAUAUUCUAGUGCUAAUUUUCUAAUGUGGUUUUAGAAAUGAUUCUGAAAGCAGUAUGAAAACUCGCUUGAGAAAAAAUGGCUUACACCCACACAAAAUGUCUGGUUGCUUGAAACAUACUCAUUUAAGGUCUUAUACACUUAUUAAAAAUUGGCCAGUGACCAGACUGCAGAAUAGUUUACAACAUGCAAGACAUAUUGACUGUGCACCUACUACAUGACAGCCAGACAUUAUGUUAUGCUGGAGAUCCACACAUGAUCAAUAUAUAUCAAGAGGAUUAUAAUAUAGUGAGAAGAAAGCCAUGGAAACAAACAAUAUCAUAAUGCAGUUGGUAUGGGAGAAUUCUACAAAGUGUAGAGAAUGAAUGUUCACUCUUGGGGCACUACUUCAUCAAGCACUCAGCCACCAUGUAAGAAGUCUAGGGUCCUCUGUGAGACAGACCACAUGGAAAAGCACUGAAGCACAGACAAACCUGACUGCCUACAAUGAGCCCUGCUUUUCAGCAUUGUGCCUGAGCUCACCACCCCCACCACAACUCCUCUGUUCCCCAGUUAAAUUUACACUCCUGUCCAGCACUGUGGGAACGAGACCACAGACUGUCCUGUCUGACCAGAUGGGUUGAGAGUCUCUGUCAACACCAAUACUAUUUUGUACCACAAACUAAAAUA